rnacentral:tRNA from 1 species
GGCGAGGUGCCCGAGUGGUCAAGGGGAAGGCCCGCAAGGCCUUUAUUCGCUGGUUCGAAUCCAGCCCUCGCCUCCA